rnacentral:misc_RNA from 1 species
AAGUCGUAACAAGGUUUCCGUAGGUGAACCUGCGGAAGGAUCAUUAAAGAAAUAAACCUGGCUUGAAUUGUAGCUGACUCUCUCUAGAGUAUGUGCACAUUCUUGUCGUCUUUAUAUCUCCACCUGUGCACCUUUUGUAGAUCAAUGGAUGCGAACUUUCUGAGGCUUGAGCAAAGCCUUCAGGUUAUAUGAGGAUCGACGGAGUCGCAAAGAUACCGGCUUUCCUUGGAAGCAUCUUCAUUGUCUAUGUCUUUUUUCAUAUACUCCAAUGAAUGUAAUAGAAUGAAUUUAAAUGGGUCUUUGUUACCUAUAAUAAAGUUUAUACAACUUUCAGCAACGGAUCUCUUGGCUCUC